CCAGACUCCUACGGGAGGCAGCAGUGAGGAAUAUUGGUCAAUGGGCGGAAGCCUGAACCAGCCAAGUCGCGUGAGGGAAUAAGGCCCUACGGGUCGUAAACCUCUUUUGCCGGGGAGCAAGGGCGGGGACGUGUCCCGGCCCGGAGAGUACCCGGAGAAAAAGCAUCGGCUAACUCCGUGCCAGCAGCCGCGGUAAUACGGAGGAUGCGAGCGUUAUCCGGAUUUAUUGGGUUUAAAGGGUGCGUAGGCGGGCUGUUAGGUCGGGGGUCAAAUACCGGGGCUCAACUCCGGUCCGCCCCCGAUACCGGCAGGCUUGAGUCUGGUAGGGGAAGGCGGAAUUCCCAGUGUAGCGGUGGAAUGCGCAGAUAUUGGGAAGAACACCGGCGGCGAAGGCGGCCUUCUGGGCCACGACUGACGCUGAGGCGCGAAAGCUAGGGGAGCGAACAGGAUUAGAUACCCUCGUA
rnacentral:rRNA from 1 species